CCUUACCAGGUCUUGACAUCCCGAUGCCCGCUCUAGAGAUAGAGUUUUACUUUUGUACAUCGGUGACAGGUGGUGCAUGGUUGUCGUCAGCUCGUGUCGUGAGAUGUUGGGUUAAGUCCCGCAACGAGCGCAACCCUUAAUGUUAGUUGCCAUCAUUGAGUUGCGCACUCUAGCGAGACUGCCUUUAAUAAACCGGAGGAAGGUGGGUAUGACGUCAAAUCAUCAUGCCCCCUAUGGCCCGGGCUACACACGUGCUACAAUGGCCGGUACAACGAGUCGCGAGCCGGUGCCGGCAAGCUAAUCUCUGAAAGCCGAUCUCAGUUCGGAUUGGAGGCUGCAACUCGCCUCCAUGAAG
rnacentral:ncRNA from 1 species